rnacentral:misc_RNA from 1 species
AACUGAAUGGUACAAAGAUUCAAUAUUUAAACAACAUUUCUUUUGUUUUGAGCACCAAAAGAAAGGUAAAUCCCGAGAUUUAUUCUAUAGAUACGGUUGCAGAUGCUUUUAAUAUAUACAACCAAGAUUACAAGCUUGAAUCAUGAACAAAAAGAAAUUGGAAAAAUUUUUCUUAAAAAUAUUUAAAAGAGAACAAAAGAAUAUUCAAGAAAUCUCAGCUUCCAUUUCCUAUUGUUACAUAAUCAUUGAGUGCAGAGAGCCAAGACCUCCUGCGCUCAGUGUCAUUGUUAGAAGUGGAUCGUCCAAGUCUCGGCCUUGAGCAUCUCACCAAUUGUUCGCGCAGUUUCCUAUCAAUGGUGCAAGGAACUAAAGAAGGACUUGUGUCCGAAGUUCCCAAGCAACCUCUAGCAUUGAAUUUCAUGGAUGGGAACUUCUGGCAACUUAAAGAGCGGAAAGAAGAAGAAAGAGGGGAAAUUCUGGUGCAUCCAAUAUCUGGCUUGCAGAGCGGAGUUAUCAUGGAAUUGGGUUCUGGCUCCUCACCUGUACAUGUGCAGAAUGAUAGCGACAAACUUGUUCUGGCAAUUGCCUUCAUCAUUGGCCUAGUUCCUGGGAGCCUCACAAAUGAAACUAUGCCAUGUCGGCAGAGAGGACAGGUAACUGAGCCAGGAGGACCUUGAGCAACUGCAGAGGUGCAAAAUGUAGAACAAAGAUACAAUGCACACCAUGUGCAGAAUUCAUGACCACAACCUUCUGCAGCAACUGUGCAUGCCCUUUCCAAACAAACAACACAAGGAUCCUGACAUUUGGGUAGCAAAUCCUCAUCCCUCCAUCCACAUUCUCUGGAAACAGUCCAAAAAAAGAAAUCAUUUUGAUAUAUAACCAUUCUGUUCCUCAUCCCAACUUGUCAUUGAGGAGCAUUAAGCAUGGUAUAUGAUACACACUAACAAAAUUGUUACAACACAAAACAAGUAUCUAUGUUUCUUGAAUUCCUUCGAUGCUAGAUUAUGCAGGCUAAAGUUCUCCCCAUGAAAGCAUAGAAUGUAACCUCAACAGAAUAUUUUUGUUGUACCACGCUCAUGUUUUUGAUCCAUACAGCAUGUAAUUCCCUAAACCAUAUCAGUUCAUAUCCGGUGGCUCAAGGCCACAGAUAAAACCUAGCAAUUUUGACAAUGCUCCCAAGGGGAAGAGAUAGAUAUGGUGAAGGAGACAUUUGUGACUGGUGUUCUGGCUGUAUGCUAAGUAUUUCCUCAAGUUCAUUUCUAUGCCACGAACGAGCAACCAUCAAAGGAGUCCAUCCAUUUACAUUUUCAGCGGUCAGACUGGCACCCCGGGCAAUCAAAAUAUGACAACAUUGUGCAUUUCCACCACAUGCAGCAUAAUGAAGAGGUGUGCUUCCAGCACCGAUGAGAUCAAUUGUAGAUCCAUCUUCCACAGUGACCUCAGAAACAGAAGCUCCAAAGUCCAACAGUAAUUGCACAGUUUCAAGAUGCCCAUUUAGUGCUGCCAUAUGCAGAGCAGUGAUGCCUCCAUCGGCAGCUCUAUUGAUUACCUCAUGGAGAGCACCUUCAUCAAACUCUGAGAUUGAUCUAUUGUCAUUUGAUAUUUCCUUCGAUAUAUUCCAACAAGCACUGAUGGUAGGUAUAUAAUCCGCAAGGAGGAUGCGUACGCAACGAGAAUGACCAUUCAAAGCAGCCAAGUGAAGUGCAGUACCCCCAUUAAGAUAAUCUGAUCUGUGAACAUUGGCUUUAAAAAGCAUCAAAUUCAGAACAACCUCCCAGUGACCAUGUUGACAAGCUUGCAUCAACGCAGUCUGACCACGAUAAUUCCUCAGAUUAAUAUCAACUCCAGACUCAAUCAAGAGAGAAACUAUCUCAUGGUGACCUCGAGCUGCAGAGUAAUGUAGGGGAGAAUUUCGAACUCCAAAUGUGGAGUACCUCGCAAGCCUUGGAUUGCAUUCCAACAAGGCCUUGGCUUCUUGAAGAUCUCCAUCUCUUGCUGCAGAAACUAAACGCUCCCCGGAUGCAGAACAACCGAGAGAAUUGCCCAUGAUGCUUAGAAAUUUCAUGAUUUUUAGCACUACAGGAAAGCCUUUUGAUCAAAUGGAACAGUAAAAGGGUGUUUGAAUCCUCAACCCUUGAACCAUUUAAAGCUAGACAAUGGAAGAAAAGGAAAAUGGAAAAAAGAAAAGGCAGGCCAGCACCAUCAGGUCACAUAAAUCCCUUGGCAUUUACCAAACUAACAACCAACCAAAGCUCACUUACUUAUUAAAGAUUGGUUGCAACAGUCAGAAUCUCACUGAUUAUUGGUGAUUACUAUGGUGAAUUCUGAGAGAGAAAGACUCUUGUUGACAUCCAAAAGAAAAAACAAAAAAGGGGCUCUCUCCAACUGAUCACUAAUUAAACAAAAAAAAAUUGCAAUCUGAAUGCGACCCUUUCUAGGUUAGUUAAGCAUAUCUCGUGAACUUCGAGAAACCCAACAAACAUUACAAUACACAAUGAAAUCCUAAACAAUUUUUAACGCCACCCAAUUUAUUCUCUCACCAAAUUACACAAAACCAUUACUUCCCUCUUAGAAAAUGACGAUCUCUGUACUUUCUAAACAAAAUAUCAUAUUCUCCUAAAAUUUUCCUUUACCCACUUCUAGGCAUUUGUUAAAGAAUCAAAAUCUGCAAACCCCAUAUCCUGAUUUUUCCAAAGAAUCAAGUCUCCAAUAGAUACUAAAGAAAAAUUCAAUACGAAGUCCCAAAUUUUAUCUCAUAAAAAAAAAGAAGAAAAAGCUACAGAACCCACAUACAAAUUUACAAUGAAGAAUCAAAAUCUCCCAUCCUCAUCUCCAAAUAUGCAAAACCUGCGAAACCCAGAUCAAAUACCUCCCUCUGCCCGGAGAUACCGAUCAAAAGAAAAUAGACCAAAAGGGUAUCCAAAAGAAAUCCGAAAAAUAAGAUAGAGCAACAGAAGAAUGUAUACACUAAAAGAGGAAAAUUACUUGCCGAUAUAUGUGUCGAAGUUAAAAUUUAGAAUAAUUGAAAAUUGGAAGAGCAGAAGAGAUGAUAAAUUAAAAAAGCAUAAA